rnacentral:rRNA from 1 species
UACGUAGGCAGCAAGCGUUGUUCGGAGUUACUGGGCGUAAAGGGUGUGUAGGCGGCCUGUUAAGUUCCGUGUGAAAUCUCCAGGCUCAACCUGGAGGGGUCAUUCGAUACUGCCAUACUAGAGGUCGGUAGGGGAGUGGUGGAAUUCCUGGUGGAGCGGUGAAAUGCGCAGAAUAUCAGGAGGAACACCCGUAGCGAAGGCGGCACUCUGGGCCGAUUCUGACACUGAGGAGCGAAAGCGUGGGGAGCGAACGG